UACGGAGGGGGCGAGCGUUAUUCGGAAUUAUUGGGCGUAAAGAGCGCGCAGGCGGUCGUUCAAGUCGCGUGUGAAAGCCCCCGGCUCAACUGGGGAGGGUCACGCGAUACUGAUCGACUCGAAGGCAGGAGAGGGUAGUGGAAUUCCCGGUGUAGUGGUGAGAUGCGUAGAUAUCGGGAGGAACACCAGUGGCGAAGGCGACUACCUGGCCUGUUCUUGACGCUGAGGCGCGAAAGCUAGGGGAGCAAACGGG
rnacentral:rRNA from 1 species